rnacentral:tRNA from 1 species
AGUGAAGUAGCUCAGCUGGUUAGAGCAUCUGUCUUACAAGCAGGGGGUCUUCGGUUCGAAUCCGAACUUCACUACCA